rnacentral:rRNA from 1 species
GACGAACCGUGCGAACGUUAUUCGGAAUCACUGGGCUUAAAGCGCGCGUAGGCGGCCCGAUAAGUCCGCUGUGAAAGUCAACGGCUCAACUGUUGGAUGCCGGUGGAUACUGUCGGGCUAGAGUACGGAAGAGGCAAGUGGAAUUCCUGGUGUAGCGGUGGAAUGCGCAGAUAUCAGGAGGAACACCUAUAGCGAAGGCAGCUUGCUGGGACGUUACUGACGCUAAGGCGCGAAAGCGUGGGGAGCGAACAGG